CACGAUGCUAACAGGCAGCAUUCUUCUUGGUCUUCCUCUUCCCACUAUUCAUUUACUUAAAAGAAAGGCAGGAGAAUACACUGAGAUAAAAAUAAAAAUAAAAAAGAAAAGAAAAGAAAAAAACCUGAAGGUGAAAUAUAAGAAGAGUGCUGUGCUUCACCAUUCUCAAAGCAAUUUGUUAGCAUGAUUAGUUCGCAUAGACAUGCAAAGAGUUCUGAAAAAUUCACGAGGAGAGCGUUAUCUACCUAUGUUUGAAGUAAUUCCCAACAGAUAUCUACACUCUGAAAUGGAGCCUACUGAAUCUGUGCCAAAACGAAGAAGACAGAUGUAUUGAUAUCACUACUUAAGUCAGCCAAAAGAUUUUGGUUGACUGCAGGGUACAGGUGUGAGAAUGAAGACACUGCAUAUCUGCCAGUCUGCCUCCUCUCCAUGAUUAAUGGCCUUGCACUUUCUGCUGCCUCUUGCAACUCAUACCUCAUAACUCCCGAGGGAAGGCAAGUAGAGACUUGAUGUGGGACUCUCCUCAGACUGUGUGAACUCCAUGACCUGCUGAUCUGGUAUUAAGAAGUUAAAAUCUACAUAUGCACCCAUACAUAUAUACAGCUCAGUAGAGAUAUAUUGCUUGGCAAAAAAAAAAAAAAAAAAAAAAAAAAAAAAAGCAACAAGCAUUGUUUUGUGAAAGAAAAAAAAAGAAAAAGAAAAAAGCUUGCAAUAAUUUCUAGCAAGAAAAGCAAAAUUAUCUCUUCACAGCCACUGGUUUUGAGUGGCUGAAAUAUAUUGAGAUGGUAGCUAAUGAUCAUAUUGCCACAAAGGUGCCCAAUCUAGAAUGUUCUGGGGGAAACCUGAUGAGAUGGAAGGAGUCCUUCUGCCUUAGCCAAUUGUUCUCAACAGUUGGGGUGUGCAGCAGCAACAGCAAAAAGGAGGGGGAAGAGUCUGAGUGCCCUGCAGGCUGGACAGCAGUACUAGCAAGUUAGUCACCCAGUCACUGCAACAGGAACCACAGGACAGAAUUAGAGACCUUUUUUUAAGUUAACACAUUUCCUCUGCUAUGGGUGUUUUUUGUGUUUGGAUAGGUUUUUGUUUGUUUGUUUGUUUCAGAAAGACAAUCUGGCUUACUUCUCCAUUUCAAAAUACAGGUUGAAAGAAAAGGUAAGAGCAGCAACUUCACUCACUUCCCACAAUAACCUAGUAAAUCAAAAAGCAGGAUGGCCUAGGACUUUAUGAAGGCACCAAGACAAAUGCUACUGCACUACUUUCAGCCCCAAGCUGCUUUGCACAGAGCAGGUGGAAAUUCUGCACUGUACACUGAGUGAGCUAGUAGCACCCAAGGUGUGACAUGGGUCAUAGUUCCUCUGUGAUCUGAGCUGUGAGUGUGCUGUAACACAUAUGCUUACAUAGAGACUUCAUGAAGAUAAAAAGAGAUAACUUGUUCUGGGUUUCAUAGUUAACGUACAUAACUUCAGCACAGCCAUUAGUUCUAAUCUGUACUGUACAUUCAAGUAUGUUUCAAAAGUAAGAUUGGCCCACGUACUGAAAUAUCUGUGUUAUUGAUCACUGUCCUUGUGCGGUUGCUUAGAAACACUGAGCUGAAGAAUCGAAAUGUUCAUUCACUGAUUCAUUAAGAGAUUUUGGCAGUCUUUCAUAUCAGUUGUUUCUGAUCAUGAAGGCAUGUCCUUGAAAUGACAUCAUAGCAGAGCUUAGGAGAAUAAUUAAAUUUCAGACUUUUUCUGAUAGCUGCAGGCUACCAUCUUAGGUUGCUUUCCAGGCUACUUUAAUUUGAAACUGGAAGCAUAUUCUGAGGUGCCACUUCAAGGUAAAAAGCUGAAACUACUUUUUAGUUUAGCCUUUUCUAUUCUUUGGUCCAUUGCAAAUGUCACCUCUUUAUUUUGGGGUGAUAUUAUAUAUUUUCCCAACCUCUGCUUCAAAACCAGGAGACAACAGUCAAUAACUACUCCGUAUCUCCAGAAUUUAUCUGACGGAAUGAUUGGAAGAAAUCUAUGGACCUUAAAGACGAAGAGAAUUUCCGUUCCUGGAUGUUAUCUACAGAUAGAAGUUAAAUCCCUGUGAGAUCACCGGACAAAGCUCCCACUGACUUCAAAGAUUGGUAAAUGCCAAAAGUUCAUAUGCUGUUUCCAGACAUUCACCGUAACAGACCCUACAUGUAUAUUCACAUGUAAAGAAUGCUAACACUGAAACCUCUGGGAAGAGAAAUACACCCCUGGUGCUGUGAUCCCGCCCUUCUUGUUACUCCUAGCAGUAGGUACCUUACUACCUCCCAGGAGACAUAAGCUCCUAAACACUUCUAGAGAGACAAGUGGAGCUUUGGAAACCGAUUCCAACAGACUACAAGCAUGGAUCUCAGGGUUUUGAUCAGGCCUGUUUGUAAAGUGUUGUUUCAAGCGUUGCUGUCCUUCAGCUGAAGAACAUUACAGCAAAGAGGGUGGAGUUAUACUCACUCAGGGGGUAGAGCUCCUUCAGUCUCCUUAAUUCAUUGUCCUUUCCUAUAAAUUUUGCUGGUAGUAUCAAUGGUAACAUUCACAACUAGAAGAGACCAUCAGCUAUUUGUUCCUUUUAUUCUAUUCAAAGUAAACUGAAAAUCUGGCAGCUGUAUAUAGUCACUUCCUUACCUUUUUGCCCCUUACUCAGAACUGGCUCAGCGGUUGCAAGAGUAAGAAACAUAGCACUGCCCAGAAAGGUACAAGUAAGAGAGUUUUAAAAAAGCCUCAGGCCAAAGUCAUUACAUUUCACUGAAUGUACUGGGAUUGUGGAGUGUAACAGAGCAGCAACUAGGUCGCUAGGAGGUGGAACAACUACUUCUCUUAGAGAAAGGCAACUCUUUACCAUGCAGUUGUUGCUUAGUGCCUAUGCCUUAGUGAAACACUCAGGUCUCUCAAAAAAUCCUCAAGGGUAAAAUGUAUGCUGCUAUGGAGUAUGAUGCUUACAAUGAUGAUUUAUUAGUAGUGCAUCUGUUUUUUUCUUUAUAAGACUCAGAACCCAAGAGGACAGUUUCAGAUUAUUCCAAAUCCCACUAUUUCAAUGCUAAUUACUAAAAAUGCAGGAGCAACGCACUUCCUCUGCUUGGACCAUCUGGCAAAUUUCUCAGCUUUGCAGUUUGCUGGUCUUCAGAGUUACCCCACAAGUUAUAGGAAAAAAAAUAUUUCUGAACUCUCUAAGAGUAACAUUAUUAGUUAACAUGUUUGAAAGAACAGAAUAGAAAUGCAGAGGUUCUGAUAACAAAGGUUGAGGUUUCAGAUUAAUGGCAAAAUAAUUACGAAGUCUAGAGAAUGGAAGGACAAGUUUGAUAAAAAUAAACAUAUUUUUUUCUACAUGUGGCUGGUAUUUCUGUCUCCUGAUGUUUUUUUCUGAGGUGAACUUCUGUAAAAUAAUAAAAUGCAAUGAGUUUGAUACAUUUUGAUGUCUGACAGAGGCACUGUAAGGUAACAAAUUAGGCUCUUAAAGCGUGCAAGAAAAUGGAGAAUUCUAGUGAAAUUGUAUCAGAC
ensembl:lncRNA